CUAAAACACACUAAACUCACGCAUAACACCAUUGUUGAGGAGUUGGAGCUUUUGACCUCCGAUUUGAGCACCGAGACGAGCGCCGAUCAUCUUUUCGAUCACGUAUCUAAGUAGGUUGAGCUGAUGUGAUGAUGGUGCUGCAAUGAGCGGAGUCUCCAGGGUUGUUAAUAAAUAGUUAACCUGUCUAGAAUAUGUCUUCAUACAUAUGUCUAGCUACUUUCCGCUGCAAGAUGUUGUUGAUGUUAUAGUAUGUUAUGUCAUACUUUGAGUCUUAAGAGAAUGGUUGCAUAUGAUGUAUAACUUGAUUAAUGAUAUUAAUUAACUUUUAUGCAGUCUUUCAUAGACUGUUUUCAAUUGAGUAUUAAUGAAUAAAAAUGACG